rnacentral:rRNA from 1 species
GUUAAAAAGCUCGUAGUUGGAUUUCUGUUGAAGUCAGCCGGUGCACACCUCGUGUGUUAUUUGGCCUGGCUUUGGCAUCCUCUGGGGGAACGUUUCUGGACUUAAUUGGACAGGGCGAGAUUCCAGACUUUUACUUUGAGGAAAUUAGAGUGUUCACGGCAGGCAAGUGCUUUGAAUACAUUAGCAUGGAAUAAUAAUAUAGGACCUUCGUUCUAUUUUGUUGGUUUCUAGAACUUAGGUAAUGAUUAAUAGGGACAAUUGGGGGCAUUCGUAUUAACGCGUCAGAGGUGGAAUUCUUGGAUUGCGUUACGACGAACUACUGCGAAAGCAUUUGCCAAAGAUGUUUUCAUUGAUCAAGAACGAAAGUAUGGGGAUCGAAGACGCUUAGAUACCGUCGUAGUCUAUACCAUAAACUAUGCCAACUAGGGAUGUGACGGGUACUCUUUUAUGGCUCGUUGCGCACCUUAUGAGAAAUCAAAGUUUUUGGGUUCCGGGGGGAGUAUUGUCGCAAGGCCGAAACUUAAAGGAAUUGACGGAAGGGCACCACCAGGAGUGGAGCCUGCGGCUUAAUUUGACUCAACACGGGAAAACUCACCAGGUCCAGACAUAGUGAGGAUUGACAGAUUGAUAGCUCUUUCCUGAUUCUAUGGGUGGUGGUG